rnacentral:rRNA from 1 species
AUCGAACGCUGGCGGCAGGCCUAACACAUGCAAGUCGAGCGGAUGAAGGGAGCUUGCUCCUGGAUUCAGCGGCGGACGGGUGAGUAAUGCCUAGGAAUCUGCCUGGUAGUGGGGGAUAACGUCCGGAAACGGGCGCUAAUACCGCAUACGUCCUGAGGGAGAAAGUGGGGGAUCUUCGGACCUCACGCUAUCAGAUGAGCCUAGGUCGGAUUAGCUAGUUGGUGGGGUAAAGACCUACCUAGGCGACGAUCCGUAACUGGUCUGAGUGGAUGAUCAGUCACGCUGGAGCGGAGACAGGGUCCAGACGCCUACGGGAGGCAGCAGUGGGGAAUGUUGGACAAUGGGCGAAAGCCUUAUCCAGUCGGGCCGCGUGUGUGGAGAAGGUCUUCGGAGUGUAAAGCACGUUAACUUGGGAGAAAGGGCAGUAAGUUGAGACCUUGCUGUUUUGACGUUACCAACAGAAUAAGCACCGGCUAACUUCGUG